rnacentral:rRNA from 1 species
GUGCCAGCAGCCGCGGUAAUACGGAAGGUCCGGGCGUUAUCCGGAUUUAUUGGGUUUAAAGGGAGCGCAGGCUGGCUUUUAAGCGUGACGUGAAAUGUAGACGCUCAACGUCUGAAUUGCGUCGCGAACUGGAGGCCUUGAGUGCAUUCGACGCCAGCGGAAUUCGUGGUGUAGCGGUGAAAUGCUUAGAUAUCACGAAGAACUCCGAUUGCGAAGGCAGCUGGCGAGGCUGUAACUGACGCUAAAGCUCGAAAGUGCGGGUAUCGAACAGGAUUAGAUACCCUGGUAGUCCGCACGGUAAACGAUGGAUGCCCGCUGUUGGCGAUACAAUGUCAGCGGCCAAGCGAAAGCGUUAAGCAUCCCACCUGGGGAGUACGCCGGCAACGGUGAAACUCAAAGGAAUUGACGGGGGCCCGCACAAGCGGAGGAACAUGUGGUUUAAUUCGAUGAUACGCGAGGAACCUUACCCGGGCUUGAACUGCAGCAGAACGAUUCAGAGAUGAUGAGGCCCUUCGGGGCUGCUGUGGAGGUGCUGCAUGGUUGUCGUCAGCUCGUGCCGUGAGGUGUCGGCUUAAGUGCCAUAACGAGCGCAACCCCUUUCGUCAGUUGCCAUCAGGUGAUGCUGGGCACUCUGGCGACACUGCCACCGUAAGGUGUGAGGAAGGUGGGGAUGACGUCAAAUCAGCACGGCCCUUAUGUCCGGGGCUACACACGUGUUACAAUGGGUGAUACAGAGCGUCGGCGCUUGGCAAUAAGCGUCCAAUCGUGAAAGUCAUCCUCAGUUCGGAUUGGGGUCUGCAACCCGACCCCAUGAAGCUGGAUUCGCUAGUAAUCGCGCAUCAGCCAUGGCGCGGUGAAUACGUUCCCGGGCCUUGUACACACCGCCCGU